CCCGGUGGCUAUAGCGGAGGGGCCACACCCGAUCCCAUUCCGAACUCGGAAGUUAAGCCCUCCAGCGCCGAUGAUACUGCGGGGUUCCCCCGUGGGAAAGUAGGUCGCUGCCGGGA
rnacentral:rRNA from 1 species